rnacentral:rRNA from 1 species
CCUACGGGAGGCAGCAGUGAGGAAUAUUGGUCAAUGGCCGGAAGGCUGAACCAGCCAUGCCGCGUGAAGGUCAGUGCCCUAUGGGCGUUAAACUUCUUUUGUGCGGGAGCAAUAAUGGUCACGUGUGGCCAGACGAGAGUACCGUACGAAUAAGCAUCGGCUAACUCCGUGCCAGCAGCCGCGGGAAUACGGGGGAUGCAAGCGUUAUCCGGAGUUAUUGGGGUUAAAGGGUGCGUAGGCUGUGAGGUAAGUCGGCGGUGAAAUGCCCCCGCUCAAAGGGGUGAAGUGCCAUUGAUACUGCCUUGCUGGAAUGCGGAUGCCGUGGGAGGAAUGUGUGGUGUAGCGGUGAAAUGCAUAGAUAUCACACAGAACACCGAUUGCGAAGGCAUCUCACGAAUCCGCGAUUGACGCUGAUGCACGAAAGCGUGGGUAUCAAACAGGAUUAGAUACCCCUGUAGUC